rnacentral:lncRNA from 1 species
AAAGUCGUCUCUCGAAAUAUGUUGAGACAUGUACUGCCCUAUACUUCAUAAUGGAAAGGUGAGUUAUGUUAGAUAUAUACACUACACGCGUUUCUACCGUAUUGUUUUAAAGUUUCGUUACACGACAAACUCGCGCCAAGAAACCAGACUGGGUGUCAGGUAUCUGUUAAUCGAUUCCGCGGUAAAAGUGACGCGGAAUUUUCGAGAUUCUUGUCAACUAGACAGUGGGUAAUAAGAAAAUCUGUAUCGCCGGUCUACAAAAUGUCAUGUUUAACCAACCUUCUCCGGUUUAACGAACCAUAUCAAUCUCUUUUUAUUUGUCCCGGAUUUUAAAUCACACUCUCUUGUCUUUUUUGUUUUUUUUUUUACCUCUCUUCCGGUAUUAUUUCCGAAUUGCCGCGCGUGAUGGGUUAAAACAUCCGGUGCAAAAUGCGCAUGCUUGCUCGCACCUCUAGGAAUCUAGUGAACAGGACGCAUGAGCAGAAUAUCCAAUGUCCAUGUGGAGUCCGUUGUCCGCUGUCCGUUUCCUGUCUGAAUUCAUUGUUCAGAAACUAAUGGGAGUUGGAAUGUUCCACAUCAAUGCAGUUAUAGCUUCAUUUUAUAACAUCGUUUCUGUUUAAAAUUACGUAUCCCAGUUAGGUGUUGCUUGCACGCAGGAAAUGCUUCUCUUGGGCGAAUUUUUGUUAUUUUUUUUAAACCACAACGCGCAUUCUUUAAUAAGUGUUAUAUAAGUUUCGUGUUAAAAACUCGUUUAAUAACAUUUUUAAAAGGAUAAGACAUGCGAAAACAAGUACGGUUUAGAAAUCAUCCCCCUCGUACAACCUUGAAACUCUUUUUCCUUUCUUUGUGAUGGCCGAAAGACGUAGUUUGGUUGGUAUGUUGGCGGAAAAUUACCUUCAGCUAUUUCUCGAAAUUUUGGGGAGGGCAGAAAAGGGAAUAGCCCCACAAUACCGGAUAUGCGUCAAUCCUUGCAACGUGUUGCUGCGAUUUUCCCCAUAAUUUAAUAUUCUCUUCCAUUACUGGAAUAUUAUUUUUAAACUCAAAUUAUUACGACAACAUAUCUUCUAAAUAUAUAUACUGUAUACAUAUAUAUUUUCUAUCUAUGAGGAAUGGUUUUUUAAAAGCAAACUUAAAUAUUUUAUCAUCUUUUCAAAAGGCAAACAUCUGUAGAUAAGUAAAGUCGUACUUACAAGUUGAGAGAUAAAAAAAAAAAAAGACG